GGUGGAGCGAUUUGUCUGGUUAAUUCCGAUAACGAACGAGACUCUAGCCUGCUAAAUAGUUCGUCGAUGGCACUCUGUCGGCGCUAACUUCUUAGAGGGACAAGUGGCGUUCAGUCACACGAGAUUGAGCAAUAACAGGUCUGUGAUGCCCUUAGAUGUUCGGGGCCGCACGCGCGCUACACUGAAGGAGUCAACAUGCAUUGAUACCUAGUCUGGAAAGACCGGGUAACCCAAUGAAACUCCUUCGUGAUUGGGAUAGGGAAUUGUAAUUAUUUCCCUUGAACGAGGAAUUCCUAGUAAAUGCGGGUCAUCAUCUCGCGUUGAAUACGUCCCUGCCCUUUGUAC
rnacentral:rRNA from 1 species